GAUGAACGCUGGCGGCGUGCCUAAUACAUGCAAGUCGAGCGAACUUUUGGGAGCUUGCUCCCACAAGUUAGCGGCGGGCGGGUGAGUAACACGUGGGUAACCUGCCUGUAAGACUGGGAUAACUUCGGGAAAACGGAGCUAUUACCGGAUAACAUUGAAGACCACAUGGCGUUCAAUUAAAAGGUGGCUUCUUGCUACCACUUACAGAUGGACCCGCGGCGCAUUAGCUAGUUGGUGAGGUAACGGCUCACCAAGGCGACGAUGCGUAGCCGACCUGAGAGGGUGAACGGCCACACUUGGAGUGAGACACGGACCAGACUCCCACGGGAGGGAGCAGGAGGGAAUCGUCCGGAAUGGACGGAAGUCUGACCGAGCAACGCCGCGGGAGCGAAGAAGGACUUCGGGUCGGAAAGCUCCGUUUUUAGGGGAGGACAAGUAGCGUGCGAAUAGGGCGAUACCUUGACGGUACCUAACCAGAAAGCCACGGCUAACUACGUG
rnacentral:rRNA from 1 species